rnacentral:rRNA from 1 species
UACGUAGGGUGCGAGCGUUGUCCGGAAUUACUGGGCGUAAAGAGCUCGUAGGCGGUUUGUCGCGUCUGCUGUGAAAAACCCGAGGCUCAACCUCGGGCCUGCAGUGGGGUACGGGCAGACUAGAGUGUGGUAGGGGGAGACUGGAAUUCCUGGUGUAGCGGUGAAAUGCGCAGAUAUCAGGAGGAACACCGAUGGCGAAGGCAGGUCUCUGG